GCAGUCGUGGCCGAGUGGUUAAGGCGAUGGUCUAGAAAUCCAUUGGGGUCUCCCCGCACAGGUUCGAAUCCUGUAGACUGCG
rnacentral:tRNA from 1 species